AGUCUUAGGGUAAUUAAUCUAAGAUUAAACCUGCCCAAUGUCUUCUGAUUAAUGGCCGCGGUACUUUGACCGUGCUAAGGUAGCGCAAUUAAUUGGCUUUUAAUUGGAGCCAGGUAUGAAUGGAGUUACGGGGUUUAGCUGUCUUAGAUUUAUUUUAUUGAAGUUACUAUCUAGGUGAAAAAGCCUAGGUUAAGCAGGGGGACGAGAAGACCCUUAGAGUUUGUCUUAUAUUGAAUAUUUUUCAUAAUAGUUUGGUUGGGGCAACCCAGGAUCAGUAUUUAAACAUCCUGAGACAUAUAAACCGAUUUUAAUAAGCAUGAAUAAACUACCUUAGGGAUAACAGCAUAAUUUUAUAAGUAAGUUUGUGACCUCGAUGUUGGACUAGGAAACCAAUAGGCUAGCCGCUUUUUGGGUAGGUUCUGUUCGAACUAUUAUUCCU
rnacentral:rRNA from 1 species